rnacentral:lncRNA from 1 species
CAAACCUGAGCUAGGCCGCAAGUCCAUAACAACACAAUGAAAGCUCACAUCAAGAGAUCUGUUGGGAUCAAGCUCAGAAACGGCGGCGGAGCUGCAUAGACUGGUCGGUGAGGGUGCGGUAGUGAGACAGUGAAGCUCCGCUUCUGGUCUUUCGUCUGAAUAAGACGCAAAGUGUUGCGGUGGAAGGUCAUCUCGUUCGGGUUUGACACGAACCGGAUGAGAAAUGCUGAACCAAGGAAGCGGAUGGUUAGUGGCAGUGGAUAGUCUUGUAGAUCC